rnacentral:tRNA from 1 species
GGGGUUGUGGCUCAGAGGAAGAGCGCUCGCCUAUCAUGUGUGAGGCAGCAGGUUCGACCCUCAGCACCA